rnacentral:rRNA from 1 species
AUUGAACGCUGGCGGCAUGCCUUACACAUGCAAGUCGAACGGCAGCACGGGAGCAAUCCUGGUGGCGAGUGGCGAACGGGUGAGUAAUAUAUCGGAACGUGCCCAGUCGUGGGGAUAACGUAGCGAAAGCUACGCUAAUACCGCAUACGAUCUAUGGAUGAAAGCGGGGGAUCGCAAGACCUCGCGCGAUUGGAGCGGCCGAUAUCAGAUUAGGUAGUUGGUGAGGUAAAGGCUCACCAAGCCGACGAUCUGUAGCUGGUCUGAGAGGACGACCAGCCACACUGGGACUGAGACACGGCCCAGACUCCUACGGGAGGCAGCAGUGGGGAAUUUUGGACAAUGGGCGCAAGCCUGAUCCAGCAAUGCCGCGUGCAGGAUG